rnacentral:rRNA from 1 species
UACCCACCUUUGACAUGUACGGAACUCGCCAGAGAUGGCUUGGUGCUCGAAAGAGAACCGUAACACAGGUGCUGCAUGGCUGUCGUCAGCUCGUGUCGUGAGAUGUUGGGUUAAGUCCCGCAACGAGCGCAACCCUUGUCAUUAGUUGCUACAUUUAGUUGGGCACUCUAAUGAGACUGCCGGUGACAAACCGGAGGAAGGUGGGGAUGACGUCAAGUCCUCAUGGCCCUUAUAGGUGGGGCUACACACGUCAUACAAUGGCUGGUACAAAGGGUUGCCAACCCGCGAGGGGGAGCUAAUCCCACAAAGCCAGUCGUAGUCCGGAUCGUAGUCUGCAACUCGACUACGUGAAGUCGGAAUCGCUAGUAAUCGUGGAUCAGAACGUCACGGUGAAUACGUUCCCGGGUCUUGUACACACCGCCCGUCACACCAUGGGAGCGGGUUCUGCCAGAAGUAGUUAGCCUAACC